AGUACCUGCAGAAGGUCUCUGGAGACAUCUUCAGCAGGAUCCCACACCAUGCCUCACAUGGUAGACCCCAGUGGGAAGUAUGUGACUGCCUGACUCAGGUGCCUCUCGUGGUCCAAGCCAUCCCUGCCCUGUCCCUUCCCUGGUUGUCGCCAGACCUGGAGCCCCUGCUCCUUCACUUUGCAGCCUCCUCUUCUGUCACCAACUGGGAACCCA
ensembl:lncRNA WASH5P WASP family homolog 5, pseudogene